rnacentral:misc_RNA from 1 species
UGGGCAUUACCUGGUGCAUUUUACAUAAUUCUAGUAGAUGAUAUUUCGCCUUACUACGACCCCCCCUCCUACAAGCUUAAUACAUAAAUUGGACCCUGAACUUUACCCAAAAAAAACUAGUUACCCAACUAUACUUCUAUUUUUACCUAUUAAACCUCCAAACUUAUAUUUAUAUAGGGAUUUAAAUCGUGUGGCUAAUGUCACCAGAGUGCAUGCUGGCAUGCUCUUAACUGGCAAGUAAAGCCUAAAGAAAACCGUCCAACGUGAAUUAGAAAAAAAGAUAGCUUCAUAGGCUCUUUGUCUCUCUAUUUGAUACUGCACUUUUCUCUCCCUCUAUCUUCAAACAAUUCCAAUUUCUUUCUCAAGCAUUUGUGAAGCAGGUAGGAGUUAAGAUAUUUUAAUUUCUUCAUCUUAAUACAAUUUGUUGCUUAUCUACCCAUAGUCCAGCAACAACACUAUCCUACCAUAAGGAACCAAUUGUUAAUAUUAACAAAUUCUCUUAACCACUCAUCUAGAUAGGUUUUCAAAUAAUGCUACAUGUCCACAACAUCCUCUUAGGCAGCCAGUAGAUCUUGCUCAAUACCAUAAGGAUACUUAGCGGAGAUGACAAAAGUAUGGCUCAAAAGAAAUGUUUGCAUAGGAAUCACGGAAAUAGGUUGAAGAUGCACUGAAGAGGAUGACCCCCCCUUCAUGGAACCAAAUUAUAAAGCACUUUCCUCUCCCUCUAUCUUUAAACAAUCCCAUUUUCUUUCUCAAGCA